CUACGGGGCGCACCAGUGGGGAAUAUUGCACAAUGGGCGCAAGCCUGAUGCAGCCAUGCCGCGUGUAUGAAGAAGGCCUUCGGGUUGUAAAGUACUUUCAGCGGGGAGGAAGGGAGUAAAGUUAAUACCUUUGCUCAUUGACGUUACCCGCAGAAGAAGCACCGGCUAACUCCGUGCCAGCAGCCGCGGUAAUACGGAGGGUGCAAGCGUUAAUCGGAAUUACUGGGCGUAAAGCGCACGCAGGCGGUUUGUUAAGUCAGAUGUGAAAUCCUCGGGCUCAACCUGGGAACUGCAUCUGAUACUGGCAAGCUUGAGUCUCGUAGAGGGGGGUAGAAUUCCAGGUGUAGCGGUGAAAUGCGUAGAGAUCUGGAGGAAUACCGGUGGCGAAGGCGGCCCCCUGGAUGAAGACUGACGCUCAGGUGCGAAAGCGUGGGGAGCAAACAGGAUUAGAUACCCGUGUAGUC
rnacentral:rRNA from 1 species